rnacentral:rRNA from 1 species
ACAGGGAUUGCCUUAGUAACUGCGAGUGAAGCGGCAAAAGCUCAAAUUUGAAAUCUGGGGCCUCACAGCCUCCGAAUUGUAAUUUCGCGAUACGUUUUCGACUGAUGGCUCUGCUUUAAGUUCCUUGGAACAGGACGUCACAGAGGGUGAGAAUCCCGUGAUAGGUAGGGCCUGAUGCAUAUGAUACGUAUUCAACGAGUCGAGUUGUUUGGGAAUGCAGCUCAAAAUGGGUGGUAAAUUUCAUCUAAAGCUAAAUAUUGGCGAGAGACCGAUAGCGCACAAGUAGAGUGAUCGAAAGAUGAAAAGCACUUUGAAAAGAGAGUUAAAAAGUACGUGAAAUUGUUGAAAGGGAAGCGCUUGAGACCAGACUCGAUCUGUGGUGAUCAACCGGGCUUCUGUCCGGUGCACUUGCCACUUGUCGGGCCAGCAUCGGUUCUGGCGGUGGGAUAAAGUCUCGAGGAAUGUAGCUACCUCGGUAGUGUUAUAGCCUCUUGAGUAAUGCCACCAGCCGGGACCGAGGACCGCGCUCCGGCUAGGAUGCUGGCAUAAUGGUCUUCAGCGACCCGUCUUGAAACACGGACCAAGGAGUCUAACAUCUAUGCGAGUGUUCGGGUGGAAAACCCUUGCGCGUAAUGAAAGUGAACGGAGGUGGGAACCGUAAGGUGCACCAUCGACCGAUCCUGAUGUCUUCGGAAGGAUUUGAGUAUGAGCAUAGCUGUUGGGACCCGAAAGAUGGUGAACUAUGCCUGAAUAGGGUGAAGCCAGAGGAAACUCUGGUGGAGGCUCGCAGCGGUUCUGACGUGCAAAUCGAUCGUCAAAUUUGGGUAUAGGGGCGAAAGACU